rnacentral:rRNA from 1 species
AUUGAACGCUGGCGGAAUGCUUUACACGUGCAAGUCGAACGGCAGCACGGGGGCAACCCUGGUGGCGAGUGGCGAACGGGUGAGUAAUACAUCGGAACGUGCCCAGUCGUGGGGGAUAACGUAGCGAAAGUUACGCUAAUACCGCAUACGAUCUACGGAUGAAAGCGGGGGACCGUAAGGCCUCGCGCGAUUGGAGCGGCCGAUGUCAGAUUAGGUAGUUGGUGAGGUAAAGGCUCACCAAGCCGACGAUCUGUAGCUGGUCUGAGAGGACGACCAGCCAAACUGGGACUGAGAACCGGCCCAGACUCCUACGGGAGGCAGCAGUGGGGAAUUCUGGACAAUGGGCGCAAGCCUGAUCCAGCCAUUCCGCGUGCAGGACGAAGGCCUUCGGGUUGUAAACUGCUUUUGUACGGAACGAAAAGGCUCUGGUUAAUACCUGGGGCUCAUGACGGUACCGUAAGAAUAAGCACCGGCUAACUACGUGCCAGCAGCCGCCGUAA